CUAGAUGGGUUGUCUCUCUUUUGAACUGUUCACUUAGGUUCAUUUCUGAUUUGAGCCUCCGGGUGAAGGGGCGUGGCCCCUGAGUGACAGGUCUUCCUUGGGGCUUGGCAGGGACAGUGACAUCUCAGAAGGACUCCCUGGAGAGCCCCUCUCCCUCUCAUCCACACUCAGCACAGAGGGCCCUCCGCCCACCCUGCCUCCGCCAUGAGCCCCUGCCUCCUGGGCUGUGUGGUCUUCUGUCUCCUGCAGGCAGGGGCGGUCCAUGCAGGUGUCACUCAGGACCCCAGAUUCCAGGUCGUGAGGACAGGACAGAGCACAACACUGAAAUGUACUCAGGAUCUGGGUCAAAACUCAAUGUACUGUUACCGACAAGACCUGGGACUUGGGCUGAGGCUGAUCCAUUACUCAGCUGCCUAUCCCACCACGGUGAAAGGAGACGUGCCCGAGGGCUACAGCGUCUCCAGACCGAGCACAGAGGACUUCCCUCUCACGCUGAAGUCUGCCAACCGCUCCCAGACAUCUGUGUACUUCUGUGCCAGCAGUUACUCCACAGCGCUGCACAGCCACCUCCUUUCUGUGCAAAAAAGCAGAUGAGGGCCCUGCAGCCUGGAACUUGGGGAGCCCCUUGCAGGCUCCUAGCACCUGCCAGCUCGGAGCCCACAGACACAUACUGGCAACAUAGCCGGCGAUGUUUGAUCUUCCAGGCACGGACCUGACAAUAGGGCCUCAUGGACAUGUGUCCACCCUCACUCUCUCUUUUCACUCUAGCUGCCACGUAAGCCUAAAGAUGCUACCCGGCUCUGACUCCUAGUCAUCAGCCUGAAUAUGAGGCCCCCAGAAGGGAAGGGUGUUGGGAAAUCAGAUGGAUCUAGACCCUCUUGUCUCUCCCUGGGCACCAAAUGCCUGUUGCUAUGGAAGGUUCCCCCCGCCCCCCCAGACUGGCCCUUGCGUGGUCUCUGCUCUUGUCCAACUUCCCAGAUGUGGGGCCCUACCCUCCCACCUUCCUGGCCCUUGUUCCCACCCUUCUCUACUUCAGCCUUGCUGCUCCUCCCUCAACUGGGUCAUGUCCUUGCCCAUCACCUAGGGAACCUUGUAAUGAUCCCUAAGUGGGUGUGUUUGAGUGUGCUCUCUGGGGUCCUCAAAGAGAAUGCAACCUCAGUUAAUUUUUAAUCAUCCAAAAUUCCUUGGUUGUCCCUGAGGAGGAGAGACAAGCUGUGUGUCUAUGUAUUCUCCACCAUUGCCUGUGUUUAGCAUCUAAAUAACCUAGACCCUGAUGCUGGUAAAGACUGAUAGCAAGAGGAGAAGAGGGUGGCAGAGCAAGAGGUGGUUCGAUAGCAUCACCGACUCAACAGACAUGAAUUUGAGCAAACUGUGGGAGAUAGUGAAGAACAGGGGAGCCAGGUACGCUGCAAUGCAUGGGGUUUCAAUGAGUUGGACUCGAGUUAGCAACUGAACAACAACACCAACAAAAGCUAACCCAAGUUUAUAGCAUCUCCCUCAUCACAAUCUUCUAAAAGUCAAAGUAUUAAAUAUUUCCUGCAUGAACUCAUUUCUUUUCUCUUGAAAUAAAAAUCAUAAAUCAACUAUGGCUGGCGGGUGUGUGUGUUU